rnacentral:rRNA from 1 species
ACACAUGCAAGUCGAGGGGCAGCAUGAUUGAAGCUUGCUUCAAUUGAUGGCGACCGGCGCACGGGUGAGUAACGCGUAUCCAACCUUCCGUACACUCAGGGAUAGCCUUUCGAAAGAAAGAUUAAUACCCGAUGGUAUGAUGAGAUUGCAUGAUAGCAUCAUUAAAGAUUUAUCGGUGUACGAUGGGGAUGCGUUCCAUUAGGUAGUAGGCGGGGUAACGGCCCACCUAGCCGACGAUGGAUAGGGGUUCUGAGAGGAAGGUCCCCCACAUUGGAACUGAGACACGGUCCAAACUCCUACGGGAGGCAGCAGUGAGGAAUAUUGGUCAAUGGACGAGAGUCUGAACCAGCCAAGUAGCGUGAAGGAUGAAGGUCCUACGGAUUGUAAACUUCUUUUAUAAGGGAAUAAAACCUCCCACGUGUGGGAGCUUGUAUGUACCUUAUGAAUAAGCAUCGGCUAACUCCGUGCCAGCAGCCGCGGUAAUACGGAGGAUGCGAGCGUUAUCCGGAUUUAUUGGGUUUAAAGGGAGCGCAGACGGGUCGUUAAGUCAGCUGUGAAAGUUUGGGGCUCAACCUUAAAAUUGCAGUUGAUACUGGCGUCCUUGAGUGCGGUUGAGGUGUGCGGAAUUCGUGGUGUAGCGGUGAAAUGCUUAGAUAUCACGAAGAACUCCGAUUGCGAAGGCAGCACACUAAGCCGUAACUGACGUUCAUGCUCGAAAGUGUGGGUAUCAAACAGGAUUAGAUACCCUGGUAGUCCACACGGUAAACGAUGGAUACUCGCUGUUGGCGAUAUACAGUCAGCGGCUUAGCGAAAGCGUUAAGUAUCCCACCUGGGGAGUACGCCGGCAACGGUGAAACUCAAAGGAAUUGACGGGG